rnacentral:rRNA from 1 species
AGCGAACGCUGGCGGCAGGCCUAACACAUGCAAGUCGAACGAACCCUUCGGGGUUAGUGGCGGACGGGUGAGUAACACGUGGGAACGUGCCCUUUGGUACGGAAUAACUCAGGGAGACUUGAGCUAAUACCGUAUGUGCCCUUCGGGGGAAAGAUUUAUCGCCAUUGGAGCGGCCCGCGUCUGAUUAGCUAGUUGGUGAGGUAAAGGCUCACCAAGGCGACGAUCAGUAGCUGGUCUGAGAGGAUGAUCAGCCACAUUGGGACUGAGACACGGCCCAAACUCCUACGGGAGGCAGCAGUGGGGAAUCUUGCGCAAUGGGCGAAAGCCUGACGCAGCCAUGCCGCAUGAAUGAUGAAGGUCUUAGGAUUGUAAAACUCUUUCACCGGGGACGAUAAUGACGGUACCCGGAGAAGAAGCCCCGGCUAACUUCGUGCCAGCAGCCGCGGUAAAAC